AUGAACGCUAGCGACAGGCCUAACACAUGCAAGUCAGGGGCAGCACAAGGAGCAAUCUGAGGUGGCGACCGGCGCACGGGUGAGUAACACGUAUGCAACCUGCCUGUAAGCGGGGAAUAACCCGUUGAAAGACGGACUAAUACCGCAUAAUACUAAAUUACUGCAUGGUAAUUUAUUUAAACAUUUAUGGCUUACAGAUGGGCAUGCGCAUGAUUAGCUAGUUGGAGAGGUAACGGCUCCCCAAGGCAACGAUCAUUAGGGGUUCUGAGAGGAAGGUCCCCCACACUGGUACUGAGACACGGACCAGACUCCUACGGGAGGCAGCAGUGAGGAAUAUUGGUCAAUGGACGAGAGUCUGAACCAGCCAAGUCGCGUGCAGGAAGAAUGUCCCUAUGGAUUGUAAACUGCUUUUGCAGGGGAAUGAAGUGCAUCACGUGUGAUGUUUUGUAUGUACUCUGCGAAUAAGGAUCGGCUAACUCCGUGCCAGCCGCCGC
rnacentral:rRNA from 1 species